UAGGGUUUGUAGACUUCGGUCUGCUACCUCUUACCCAUGUCUUUUGAGUACCUUCGUUUCCUCGGCGGGACCGCCCGCCGAUUGGACAACAUUCAAACCCUUUGCAGUCGCAAUCAGCGUCUGAAAAAACAUAAUAGUUACAACUUUCAACAACGGAUCUCUUGGUUCU
rnacentral:misc_RNA from 1 species